rnacentral:rRNA from 1 species
GGGAACUACGGGCAAAAGCCUAAAACCCAAAGGACUUGGCGGUGCUUUAGACCCACCUAGAGGAGCCUGUUCUAUAACCGAUAACCCCCGUUAAACCUUACCUUCUCUUGUUAUAAUCCGCCUAUAUACCGCCGUCGUCAGCUUACCCUGCAAAGAUAUUUAGUAAGCAAAAUUGAUACUAUCCAAAACGUCAGGUCGAGGUGUAGCAAAUGGGAAGGAAAGAAAUGGGCUACAUUUUUUAAUUUAAAAAAUACGGAAAUUGCCAUGAAACAGCACAUUCAAGGAGGAUUUAGCAGUAAGCAUGAGAAUAGAGAGCUCCGCUGAAACUGGCCCUGAAGCGCGCACACACCGCCCGUCACUCUCCCUGAACAAUUUUUACUUAUUCAUAAUACUAGACUUCAACAUAAAGGGAGGCAAGUCGUAACAUGGUAAGUGUACCGGAAGGUGCACUUGGUUAAAU